ACUUGAGCCACACAACUGCAGCAGCUGUGGAGCACUGUGCUGGAAUGCGGGGAAAAGAUACUUGAGGCAGUGCCAGGUAGCAAAUAUGGAGGUCCUAUGGCCACCUCUCUGGAAACCUUGCCUUCAAGGUCCUGCUCUAGACCUGCGUUGGAAGGGGCAACCUGAAAACAUCUCUGAAAUGCCAUUGGAGUCUUUCUUGUCUUGAUGAAUAGCACCUGGCUCCCUUCUAGCCACGGUAAUCUCUUUAGCAAGGGGUUCACUGGACCACAUCCCUACAAGGACUUACAUCCUUAUGAGACUCUCCCAGACAUCCUUUUGCACUCUUGGCCAGGCUGAACAUUUUCACAAUUUUUACUUUCUGCUUCCUUUUUAAUUAUAAAUUUCAUCUUUUAAUCAUUUAUCUCUUCUCUAAUUUUACUGUAAGCAGCCAAAAUAAUCCAUGCAACACCUUGAAUGCUUUACUGCUUAGAGAUUUCUUCUGCUAGCUAUCCUAGGUCAUUGCUCUUAAAUGCUGCCUUCUUUUCUCUAGCUUACCUUUUUGUAAGAAUACAGUAUAAAAUACAUAUAACAUGCAAAAUAUGUGUUAAUCAACUGUUUAUGUUAUCAGUAAGGCUACCAGUCAACAGUAGGCUACCAGUAGUUAAGUUUUGGGGGAAUCAAAUGCAGAUUUCCAACUGUGCAGAGAUGGGGGUGUACCUAACCCUUAGAUUGUUCAAGGGUAAACUGCAUGAAAUAAAUUGAACAGACUAAAAAGUAUUUACUGUAAAUAUCUUGCUGUGUUUGCUUUCCAGCAUCCCUUAUUUCCUUUUUCAGGUACCAACAUCAUCAUUUUUUUGGAGAACUAUUUCUCCCUGACUUUUCAAUCCUAAGUAUCUGUCAUAAGCUGAACAGUUGUCCCCCACCAAAGAUAUAUCCAUGCUCUAAUCCCCAGAACCUUUAAAUAUGAUCUUAUAUGGCAAAGUAUGUAAUUAAGUUAAGGAUCAUGAGAGGGGGCGCUUAUCCUGGAUUAUCUGGGUAGGCUAUGAAUAAACUGUAAGUGUCCUUAUAAUCGAAAGGAAAUGGGAGUUUUGAGACAGAAAAUAGGAGGCAAUGUGACUACAGAGGGCAGAGACUGGAGUAUGGGGCCACAAGCCAAGGAUGUCUUUGGCCACAGGAAGCUGGAACAGUUUCCCUGCUAUAGCCUUUGGAGGAACACAGCCCCACCUCCAGAACUAUGAGGGAAUAAAAUUUCAAUUGUUUUAUGCCAUCCAGGUUGGGUAAUUCGUUAUAGCAGGCAUAAGAAACUGAUACAACGUCCGAUUCUAUAGGCUCUAGUCAUUGGUUCAGGGAGAGGCACAUGACCCAAUUAGUCCAGUUAAGACUCCAUUAUAGGACAAUCCCUGAGACUACUGAGACAGAAAAGUUCUCUUUUCCCACGAAGGCAGCCCAUAUUGGGAGAAUAUAGGCCUCAAGCUGUUUAUGGCCAUCAUGUAGAGACCUGGGCCUUAUAUGUGGAGAAAGAUAGAGACAAAUACCUAGUGUCGAGGAUGUCAUUUGAACUUCUGGAUCAAGCAGUAUCUGAAGCUAGAUCUAUCCCUGACUUAGCAGUUUUUUUUUUUUGUUGUUGUUUUUUUUUUGAGACGGAGUCUCGCUCUGUCACCCAGGCUGGAGUGCAGUGGCCGGAUCUCAGCUCACUGCAAGCUCCGCCUCCUGGGUUUAUGCCAUUCUCCUGCCUCAGCCUCCCGAGUAGCUGGGACUACAGGC
rnacentral:lncRNA from 1 species